rnacentral:rRNA from 1 species
GACGAACGCUGGCGGCGUGCUUAACACAUGCAAGUCGAGCGGAAAGGCCCUUCGGGGUACUCGAGCGGCGAACGGGUGAGUAACACGUGAGUAAUCUGCCCUUGGCUUUGGGAUAACUACCGGAAACGGUGGCUAAUACCGGAUACGACAACCGUCUGCAUGGGCUGGUUGUGGAAAGUUUUUUCGGCCAGGGAUGUGCUCGCGGCCUAUCAGCUUGUUGGUGGGUAAUGGCCUACCAAGGCUUCGACGGGUAGCCGGCCUGAGAGGGUGACCGGCCACACUGGGACUGAGACACGGCCCAGACUCCUACGGGAGGCAGCAGUGGGGAAUAUUGGACAAUGGGCGGAAGCCUGAUCCAGCAACGCCGCGUGAGGGAUGACGGCCUUCGGGUUGUAAACCUCUUUCAGUACCGACGAAGCGCCGAUGAUGGUGGUGACGGUAGGUACAGAAGAAGCACCGGCCAACUACGUG